rnacentral:rRNA from 1 species
AUGGGAGGUCGCCUCCUUGAUGCGCUGAUUGUCCAUGGAAAGAAAGGAAUAAAGACAUUCGGCUGCUUGAUCUGUUCACGCGAACGAACAAGAAAAAGGAAGGAACAAGAUUAUUGGUUCCUAAAACUAAGGGCCAGCUGCAUGAUUUGCACCACGUGUCCACGUCUAUUUUUUUUCCUAACUAACCUACACGCUGCAUUUUUUUCCUUACUAACCUACACGCUGCAUGCAGAGAACACACGGGUUGGCGCUGUCCUAAUAAAGAUGUAUGGUACUAGGUUUCUUGUAUUUCUUUUUUCAGAUUCCUAG